rnacentral:siRNA from 1 species
AGUGACAGACCAACAUAACACCUA